UUAUUUAGUUUAAUUAUGGCUUAAAAAAGCACAACUUAGAAGUCACAUAGUAAGAGUUAUUUUUUUUAUUUGAUUUAAACAAUUCGGUUAUUUUUUCUAGUGAUGAAUAUUUUUUUAGAUGUUAAAUCAUGCUAAAGUCUAAGUUAUUAUAGUGGAAAAUUCACAGUGCCAGCAUCCGCGGUUAUUCUGUUAACUAUUGUUUUUUUGAUGUAUUUAAUAUUAUUCUUUUUAUUCUUAUUAAAAUUUAAAAUUAUUAUAUAGAAUUUAUAUUUUUGGAUAAUUUUAUUAAUAAAUCUGUAUAUAAAACAGGAAUUUGAUACUCCAUUAUUUCAGAUAAUAUUAAAGAUUUAGUAUAAACUAAAAUAAUUUGGCAGUUAGCUACUCUUUACUGGGGAUGGUGUUUUGUAAAAGAUGAUCCGCUUUAAAUUUAACCUUAUUUAAUUAGUUGGUGUAUGUCCGGUUUUUUAUUAGUAAUCAUAGUUUAUUUUUUACUAAGUGUAAAUUUAUAUACACAUUUUAUAUUAUUAUUUAAGUUAGGUCAACAUGCUACUUAUAAUAAGGUCCUUAAAUUCCAUACUUUUAUAAUAAGAAGGUUGAAAAUUUAAAAUUCAGGACUAGUGAGUAAAAUAAUUAAAAAUGAUUAUUUGAAAGUAGUUUAGCUUUUGUACAUACCGCCCGUCAUCCUCGGUGUUAGUUGAGGUAAGUCGUAACAUGGUAGCUCUACAGGAAUGUGGAGCUAGGAAAAAUUUUU
rnacentral:ncRNA from 1 species